rnacentral:rRNA from 1 species
CACACCGUAAACGAUGAUUACUAGAUUUUGGCCGUAAGGUCAGAGUCCAAGCGAAAGUGUUUAGUAAUCCACCUGGGGAGUACGACCGCAAGGUUGAAACUCAAAGGAAUUGACGGGGGCCCGCACAAGCGGUGGAGCAUGUGGUUUAAUUCGAUGAUACGCGAGGAACCUUACCUGGGCUUGAAAGUUAGUGACCGAUCCUGAAAGGGAUUCUCCCGCAAGGGCACGAAACUAGGUGC